GUGAAUCAUCGAAUCUUUGAACGCACAUUGCGCCCUGUGGUAUUCUGCAGGGCAUGCCUGUUCGAGCGUCAUUUCAACCCUCAAGCUCUGCUUGGUGUUGGGCCCCGCCCCCGCGGCCGGCCCCAAAGUCAGUGGCGGCGCCGUCCGGCUCUAAGCGUAGUACAUCUCUCGCUCUAGGGUCCCGCGGUGGCCUGCCAGAACCCCAACUUCUAUGGUUGACCUCGGAUCAGGUAGGGAUACCCGCUGAACUUAAGCAUAUCAAUAAGCGGAGGA
rnacentral:misc_RNA from 1 species